rnacentral:lncRNA from 1 species
CGGCGGGGCCCGGCGAUCGGCCCCGCGCCGGGGUUCCCCGGGUCCGAGCGGAUGGCGACUGCAGCCAGCCCGUCCAGAAACCAGAGAAAGCCAGAGGGGACAGCAGCAGAAUAGUGCCCAAGCCUCCAGAUUAGGAUUGCAGGAUCACUUCCUCAGCAGUCACCCCCCGCCAGCUGCUGGAGAGCCUACUCCGGAGACCUCUCAGCAAAGAAUGUUCUACCUGAGGAUUUACAUCAGAGAUUCCAGAAGUCUCUGGGGACCCAGGACAAUGCUUCCUGGCAAGGGCUGGUCUCACAACGAGAAGGCAGUGUGGUUCUUGAGGGAGGAGCAGG